rnacentral:rRNA from 1 species
AGAGUUUGAUUCUGGCUCAGGAUGAACGCUGGCGGCAGGCUUAAUACAUGCAAGUUGAACGGUAACAUGUUGUAGCAAUACGAUGAUGACGAGUGGCGCACGGGUGCGUAACACGUGUGUAACCUACCUUAUACAGGAACAUAACGUUGAGAAAUCGGCGCUAACAUUCCAUAAUAUUAUUUGUAGGCAUCUAUGAAUAAUUAAAACUCCGGUGGUAUAAGAUGGGCACGCGUUCCAUUAGCUAGUUGGUAAGGUAACGGCUUACCAAGGCAACGAUGGAUAGGGGUUCUGAGAGGAUAAUCCCCCACACUGGAACUGAGACACGGUCCAGACUCCUACGGGAGGCAGCAGUAAGGAAUAUUGGGCAAUGGAGGCAACUCUGACCCAGCCAUGCCGCGUGCAGGAAGACGGCCCUAUGGGUUGUAAACUGCUUUUAAUAGGGAUUAAAGUCGACUACGUGUAGUUGUUUGCAAGUACCUAUAGAAUAAGCAUCGGCUAACUCCGUGCCAGCCGCAGC